GCGGCUGUGGCGAAGUGGUUAACGCACCGGAUUGUGGCUCCGGCAUCCGUGGGUUCGAUUCCCACCAGUCGCCCCA
rnacentral:tRNA from 1 species